AGUGAACGCUGGCGGCGUGCUUAACACAUGCAAGUCGAACGAGAACGGAUUAUAGCUUGCUAUAAUUGUCAGCUAGUGGCGCACGGGUGAGUAAUGUAUAGGUAAUAUGCCUCUUACUAAGGGAUAACAAAUGGAAACGUUUGCUAAUACCUUAUACUCCUUAUUAACAGAAGUUAAUAAGGGAAAGAUUUAUUGGUAAGAGAUUAGCCUGUAUUGUAUCAGUUAGUUGGUGAGGUAAUGGCUUACCAAGACUAUGACACAUAACUGGUUUGAGAGGAUGAUCAGUCACACUGGAACUGAGACACGGUCCAGACUCCUACGGGAGGCAGCAGUGGGGAAUAUUGCACAAUGGACGAAAGUCUGAUGCAGCAACGCCGCGUGGAGGAUGACACAUUUCGGUGCGUAAACUCCUUUUAUAUGAGAAGAUAAUGACGGUAUUAUAUGAAUAAGCACCGGCUAACUCCGUGCCAGCAGCCGCCGUAA
rnacentral:rRNA from 1 species